rnacentral:rRNA from 1 species
GAUGAACGCUGGCGGCGUGCCUAAUACAUGCAAGUCGAGCGAACAGAUGAGGAGCUUGCUCCUCUGACGUUAGCGGCGGACGGGUGAGUAACACGUGGAUAACCUACCUAUAAGACUGGGAUAACUUCGGGAAACCGGAGCUAAUACCGGAUAAUAUAUUGAACCGCAUGGUUCAAUAGUGAAAGACGGUUUUGCUGUCACUUAUAGAUGGAUCCGCGCCGCAUUAGCUAGUUGGUAAGGUAACGGCUUACCAAGGCAACGAUGCGUAGCCGACCUGAGAGGGUGAUCGGCCACACUGGAACUGAGACACGGUCCAGACUCCUACGGGAGGCAGCAGUAGGGAAUCUUCCGCAAUGGGCGAAAGCCUGACGGAGCAACGCCGCGUGAGUGAUGAAGGUCUUCGGAUCGUAAAACUCUGUUAUUAGGGAAGAACAAAUGUGUAAGUAACUAUGCACGUCUUGACGGUACCUAAUCAGAAAGCCACGGCUAACUACGGG